rnacentral:rRNA from 1 species
UCUUUGCUGACGAGUGGCGGACGGUUGAGUAAUGUCUGGGAAACUGCCUGAUGGAGGGGGAUAACUACUGGAAACGGUAGCUAAUACCGCAUAACGUCGCAAGACCAAAGAGGGGGACCUUCGGGCCUCUUGCCAUCGGAUGUGCCCAGAUGGGAUUAGCUAGUAGGUGGGGUAACGGCUCACCUAGGCGACGAUCCCUAGCUGGUCUGAGAGGAUGACCAGCCACACUGGAACUGAGACACGGUCCAGACUCCUACGGGAGGCAGCAGUGGGGAAUAUUGCACAAUGGGCGCAAGCCUGAUGCAGCCAUGCCGCGUGUAUGAAGAAGGCCUUCGGGUUGUAAAGUACUUUCAGCGGGGAGGAAGGGAGUAAAGUUAAUACCUUUGCUCAUUGACGUUACCCGCAGAAGAAGCACCGGCUAACUCCGUGCCAGCAGCCGCGGUAAUACGGAGGGUGCAAGCGUUAAUCGGAAUUACUGGGCGUAAAGCGCACGCAGGCGGUUUGUUAAGUCAGAUGUGAAAUCCCCCGG